rnacentral:tRNA from 1 species
GCCCUGGUGGCACAGUGGUUCAAUGCCUGUACUGCAGCCACUCACUUGCAAACCAUAAGGUUGCGAGUUCAAUCCCAGCCAGGGGCU